ACCGUUGGUCCGUCACUGCCGCUGCACCGCUUGGCUUCAGUGUUUGCUGUUUAUCGCCUGGCUUCAGUGUUCACUGUUCAUCGGUUGAGGUCCAGAAGGAAUCAGCUGAAGAGUUCAGCAAUAUCCGGUGACGAUCUGACUCCUUUGGAAGCUAUGCAGUCGGUGGAUAGCAUGGUGGAGUGACUUGAAGAACAGAGUUGCAAAUGUGACCCAGGGAUAGAUGUACCCGACAUUUACAAUUG